AUUGAACGCUGGCGGCAGGCCUAACACAUGCAAGUCGAACGAGUGGCGGACGGGUGAGUAAUGUCUGGGAAACUGCCUGAUGGAGGGGGAUAACUACUGGAAACGGUAGCUAAUACCGCAUACCAUCGGAUGUGCCCAGAUGGGAUUAGCUAGUAGGUGGGGUAACGGCUCACCUAGGCGACGAUCCCUAGCUGGUCUGAGAGGAUGACCAGGCAAACUGGAAAUGAGAAAAGGUCCAGACUCCUAAGGGAGGCAGCAGGGGGGAAUAUUGCAAAAUGGGCGAAAGCCUGAUGCAGCCAUGCCGAGUGUAUGAAGAAGGCCUUCGGGUUGUAAAGUAAUUGCAGCGGGGAGGCGUUACCCGCAGAAGAAGCACCGGCUAACUCCGUGCCAGCAGCCGCGGUAAUUC
rnacentral:rRNA from 1 species